rnacentral:rRNA from 1 species
AUUGAACGCUGGCGGCAGGCCUAACACAUGCAAGUCGAGCGGAUGCACGGGACUUGUUCCUCUCUACAGCGGCGGACGGGUGCGUAAGGCCUAGGAAUCUGCCUCGUAGUGGGGGAUAGCGUCCGCAAACGGACGCUAAUACCACUACCGCCUUCAGCCUGAAAGUGAGGGAUCUUCGUAGCACACGCUAUCACAUGUGCCUAGGUCGGAUUAGCUAGUUCGUGUGGUAAAGGCCUACCAAGGCGACGAUCCGUAACUGGUCUGAGAGGAUGAUCAGUCACACUGGAACUGAGACACGGUCCAGACUCCUACGGGAGGCAGCAGUGGGGAAUAUUGGACAAUGGGCGAAAGCCUGAUCCAGCCAUGCCGCGUGUGUGAAGAAGGUCUUCGGAUUGUAAAGCACUUUUAUUUGGGAAGAAGGUCUGUAAGUUAAUACCUUGCGAUUUUGACGGUACCAAAAGAAUAAGCACCGGCUAACUUCGUG